GACGAACGCUGGCGGCGUGCUUAACACAUGCAAGUCGAACGGAAAGGCCCCCUUGUGGGGUACUCGAGUGGCGAACGGGUGAGUAACACGUGAGUAACCUACCCUUGACUUUGGGAUAACUUCAGGAAACUGGGGCUAAUACCGGAUAGGAGCUCCUGCUGCAUGGUGGGGGUUGGAAAGUUUCGGCGGUUGGGGAUGGACUCGCGGCUUAUCAGCUUGUUGGUGGGGUAGUGGCUCACCAAGGCUUUGACGGGUAGCCGGCCUGAGAGGGUGACCGGCCACAUUGGGACUGAGAUACGGCACAGACUCCUACGGGAGGCAGCAGUGGGGAAUAUUGCACAAUGGGCGGAAGCCUGAUGCAGCCACGCCGCGUGCGGGAUGACGGCCUUCGGGUUGUAAACCGCUUUCGCCUGUGACGAAGCGUGAGUGACGGUAAUGGGUAAAGAAGCACCGGCUAACUACGUG
rnacentral:rRNA from 1 species